CCAACCAGACAAUCCUUGAUUAACUUCAAAAAUAAAUUUUAAUAUUCUCUAAUAAUCAUAUUCAAGCUAAAACUAUUACAAAUCCUAACGCAAAGAACAAACCAUAGUCUAUGCAUACACAAGAAAGUUCAUAAGAGACAAAAUUUAGAAGGCCAAAAUACAUGACUAUUCAACCUAAUAAUUCUAGAUGCCACACUACAGCUAAGCUAAAAACAAACUCUCUAUCUCUUGAUUCAAGAAUGUACAUGGUGCCUUAUUGCAGACAAGUUGAUUAAUGAGCUAAUGCGGAAAGGUAUCAAUCUAGUUCACCCCAUGGUCCAAAAAACUUGCUGUCAAUGGAGCCAAAACACGGGCUACCCUCGGUAGUGUUGGGUAAGUAAGUGUGCCAAGUAUGAACCAGUUGAAGCUUAGGAGAGCAACUGCAUCAGAAGCAGGUUUGUUCUUUAUGGUAGAGAAAAACUGAACCACACUUUUCAGUGACAUGCCAACAACAGCAAAAAGAGCUACAACAAGGGGCAUGCAGGGGUCUUCAGCUUCCCAGAUAAUGAUUCCGACCAAAAGGGAUAAUACUGCACUGAAUAGGGACUGUGAAAGUGCAACAUCCCUUCUCUGGCCCACACCCUCAUUCAUGUCUAAGCUCCUUGAGAUGAUGCAGUGUGAAAAUGAAUGGAUGGACCCUCUUGCUUUGCACUCAUUUUUCCAGAAAUUGAAUAAUUCUGCUUCCCUCUUGCCCUCACCUUCCCAGGCCUCUUUAUGCAUCAUCAGGUCUUCAAAUAUGAUUCCACUUCCUUUAUCACAUGAUUGGCUCUUAUCUGAAAUGCCAUGCUUUUCAGUAUUGUCAAUACCAAUAUUCUGUACAUUGUCUGCGCCAUCACUUCCUUUAAUGCUCCAACGAUCUUGACCCAGAAUUUCUUUCAGCUGAAGAUUUUCAACUUUCAGAUCCUGCAACUCUUAAGAAUCACAUUGUUGAACUCAUUGAAUUCUCAAGAUUCAUAGAAGAUGAAGAAUGGGGCCAUGCACAUGUGAUCUCCAUUAUUCUUCCUGACAUUUAUCUAGCUGUUCCAUCACUCCUAAGUCAAUUUCUCUCUCAAAAUUCAACUUUGAACCGUUCAGAUUUCAGUAAGAGAGGGAGAAUGAUCAAGUGUACCUGCCUCCCUAUAGGGGAGCUUGAACUCUAAUUGCAACCCAAUCCUUUCAUGUGGUAAGGACCCAUCCACAAGAUGUUGUGGGCAUCUUAGGAAAAAGAGUUUAAGUAAUUUUUUAAUUUUAUAUUCCAAAAGGCUAUUUUAACAACAUUAUAAAUCUUUUCUCUAUAUAAAGAUGUAGGCAUAACCAUUUUUUAUUAUUAAGGUUAUUCGGGGUCAAGAACCUAAGGUAGCGAUCACAGUAAUAUUAACAUGCGAAUCAUAAAUGUUUAUAAACAAAACUAUCCACCAUAAGGUUAUUAUGCAUCUAAGUUGAAAUUAUUGUUCAUUACCAGCUUGUGAACUUGUAGGAAAAAAAUGCAAUUAGGAUUAUAAUAUCGUAAUCUCACAGGAAACUUCAUCACUAAAUAAUAUAUUGCGAAAUUUUUGCAAUGUUCAAGUUUCUGUUCUUUAGGUAUCUGUUUAGGUAUAAACAGCAUAUCACAUUCUCAUUAACAAUUAAAUAAUAAUCAGUCUAUUGGUUGAUUCAAGCUAAUUGAAAUUGAAUGUUGAAAUAACAUUCAAAAAGAAACAAUUGUACCCUAUUUUCUGUCUUGGUUGAACAACUGAAGCUAUUGUACAGACAAAUUAUUAUGUACAUAUGCAAAGAAAAAAAAAUGCACAAAUUUACUUUACAAUCAUUGUAAAUGCCAACCAUCAAUAUGCGACAUAAAUAUGCAAUCUUAAUAAUUUUCUACCAUCUAAGGGAUUUAGCAAGCUAAUAUGCACACUUUUAUCUUUUUUUUUCUUGCUAUAUCUUUGCUUUUCUAAAUUGUCUCAUACAAAUUUAUGUGAAAAGGAGGGUGGAGCCACUCUAAAAGAAUUGUACAUGGCUCUGCAACCGAUCAAGCAAUUUUCUACAUAAAACUUCAUUUUAUAACUUAAUUUUUAUAUGAUCUUUUGCAAUGAAGAAGCUAAUUCCCCUUGAUUCAAUGAAAUCAAACUCUAGUUUUACCACUUCAUAAGUUUUUCUUAUCGAUCAAAG
rnacentral:misc_RNA from 1 species